rnacentral:rRNA from 1 species
AUGCAAGUCGAACGAUGAAGCCUUUCGGGGUGGAUUAGUGGCGAACGGGUGAGUAACACGUGGGCAAUCUGCCCUUCACUCUGGGACAAGCCCUGGAAACGGGGUCUAAUACCGGAUAACACUCCUGCCUGCAUGGGCGGGGGUUAAAAGCUCCGGCGGUGAAGGAUGAGCCCGCGGCCUAUCAGCUUGUUGGUGGGGUAAUGGCCUACCAAGGCGACGACGGGUAGCCGGCCUGAGAGGGCGACCGGCCACACUGGGACUGAGACACGGCCCAGACUCCUACGGGAGGCAGCAGUGGGGAAUAUUGCACAAUGGGCGAAAGCCUGAUGCAGCGACGCCGCGUGAGGGAUGACGGCCUUCGGGUUGUAAACCUCUUUCAGCAGGGAAGAAGCGAAAGUGACGGUACCUGCAGAAGAAGCGCCGGCUAACUACGU